UACGGAGGGUGCGAGCGUUGUCCGGAAUCAUUGGGCGUAAAGGGCGCGUAGGUGGCGGGACAAGCGUGCGGUGAAAGCUCGGGGCUCAACCCCGAGUCGGCCGUGCGAACUGUUUUGCUUGAGCACUGUAGAGGCAGGCGGAAUUCCGGGUGUAGCGGUGGAAUGCGUAGAGAUCCGGAAGAACACCGGUGGCGAAGGCGGCCUUGCUGGGCAG
rnacentral:rRNA from 1 species